rnacentral:rRNA from 1 species
CAGUCGCCGCGGUAAUACAGAGGGUGCGAGCGUUAAUCGGAUUUACUGGGCGUAAAGCGUGCGUAGGCGGCUUUUUAAGUCGGAUGUGAAAUCCCUGAGCUUAACUUAGGAAUUGCAUUCGAUACUGGGAAGCUAGAGUAUGGGAGAGGAUGGUAGAAUUCCAGGUGUAGCGGUGAAAUGCGUAGAGAUCUGGAGGAAUACCGAUGGCGAAGGCAGCCAUCUGGCCUAAUACUGACGCUGAGGUACGAAAGCAUGGGGAGAAAACAGGAUUAGAUACCCCGGUAGUCCCUGUCUCUUAUAC